AGCCUUAAAGAAAAGUGAAGGAAGAGCAAAAAAUAACCCUUUAUCUUAAUAUGUGUGAUACAAACACAAACCUAUUUUUAAUUGCCUGAGGAAAACAUGUUUUAAGUGGACAGACCCCACUUAAAAAAUGAGUAAAGAAGUAAAGUAUCAAUCCUUUCUUAAUUUUUUGCUGUUUUGCAUCCUCUUUUAGGGUUCAGCUUGUCCAGCUAAACUCUGAAAACAAAAUUUUGAAAUUGAAUCAAAAGAAGCCAGAAGACCAGAACUUGGCAGUGGUUCAAUCUCUUCUUGACGAUAAAACUCAAGCAUACAAUCGAUUGAAUCAAGAAAACAGAAGACUGAAUCAGCGCAUAAUGGAGCUUGAAUCUGAGAGGAAAGAAAUGAUAAAAUGGACGAAAACGAUGCUUCUGCCUUAAAAUUGAAGUUGACUGAGCUUCAAGAUAAGCAGCAUAGCAUGAAAGAAGAGCUUGAUGAGAAAGUCAGCAUCAUCAUGGAAAAAAAACAAAUCAUUUUCCAGCUUCAAGAAGCACUUUCCCAAAAAGAUGUAGAGCUUAAUGAACUUGGAGAGAAAUACAAGAAAUAUACAGAGAAAGCGAAAACUGUCAUGAAAAGUUUGGAUCCCAGGCCUCUAUCAAGCAUAGAAUUAAAUGAAAUCCGAAACAAUUAACUGAAAGUGAGAGGCUACUGGAAGAAAGAGAUAAAAAAAUUCUUCGCAUGGAAAGUGAAAUGAAUUUGAUGUCGACAGCAUAUCAUCACAUGGUAAUUUUUUUUUAUAAGUACAGUUUAUCUUAAGGUACGAAUCGCCAGAUGAGGUAUUUUCUACACUCCUGGAAAAAGUGUCACUGUCCAAUAGGUGGCAAGAUAUUAAAUUGGCAAAAGUUUUUCUUCCUUCCUCCUGGAAAGAAAAUAUUGCUAGCGGUGUGAUUCUUAAAUGGUGCAUCCACUCGAGCAAAUUCUCUGAAUUCCCCUCCCUCUGUUUUUCAAAUCAAAAUUUAAUCAAACACUCUGUUCAUUUAAAUAAAAAAGGAAUACUAGUCACCCAAAAAGAAUGGACCCUAGACAAGGUACGAAUUUCAGCAUUCUGAUACAUGUGUCUUGACCAAAAUUUCACGUAAAACAUGAUGCGCACAACGAAAAUUAACGAAAUCAACUCCUCCCGAAGAUAUUUAAUGAUUCUUGGUGCGUGAAUUAGAACCGCCUGCUCAUGAAAACUCAAUGCUCUACAAGAUUCACAUCGCGCGCUAAAUGUUAUCAUGAACGUCUCUGCAAUAAAAAAAAAACCUGGCACCUCAAUCUUGACGCUUUGGUUCAGCUAUAGCAAAUUACUUAUGGUUUGAAAACACAUGGUGAGAAACGAACAUUGCUCGAUUGAUAAGCUUGCUGAAACCGUUGUAUUGCGGGAUUUGACUCACGUAGAGCUUUGAGUUUCUUGGGAGCAGGCAGUUCAAAUUCCUCGUUACCAAUGUGAAUAAAAACGUUAACAUCUUCGUAAAGAGUUGGUUUCAGUAAUUUUCGUUGCCCCAAUCGUGUUCCUACUGAAACUCUGGUUAAGAUACAUGUAUCAGAAUGCUUAAAUUCGUAACUUGUCUAGUGGUCCAUUCAGCGGUUUUAAGCAAUGUAAGCAGCUCGAUGGAAGGUAAGCUAAAGCAGAAUUUAGUUGGAACUUGGGCUGCUAAAGUGCUGGAAACACCGCAAAUGACAGUGCUGCACUUGUAGACUCGAUGGUGCAUCUUGUACGCUGCUUACCUGGACACACUCAUUGCCCAACUUACCGCUAUCCCUUCAUGUAAUAAAAUUUUGAUUGAAAUAAGAGCAUUGAGACCAGGAGUAGUCCUCUUCAGAAAGACAAUAGCAAUUUCUGAAAUUGUUUUUACUGCCUGUAUCGUUUCCUUUCAAUUAUUUAUUUUCUUUUGCAUCCCAGCAUUUUUGACUCAUGAUCGGGGAAAAUUUAAAAUCAAAAGGAAAAGAACAGUUAAUUCUAUGGUGUGCUCGUUUUGAGUCAUUUUAAUUUGAUUUUUAGAAAUUCCGCAAAUUUUGGAAUCCGCAAACUCUGUCUCAUAAUUUUCCUCCGCUGUUUCUAUGUAUUACUUACUACUCUAACUCUUACAGCUACUCCAGUAUACCGUAUUUACGUAUUAACACAAUGUAGGGCACAGGCAUCUGCUCCAGUGAUAUUUCCUUUCAUCUAAAAAUGAAUCCUCCCCCCUCCCCCCCCCCCCGUUUUCCCCCUUUAUAUCGUCAAUUUUCUUUGUUUUGCUCCAUGAAGACUCUGACUCACCUUAAAAACAAAGUAUUUCAUCCUUAAGUCAUAAAUUGACUUUUCAAAAGAAGUUGAAAAAUUAUGUAUGCCAAAAAACACUUUUUUUAAACUUCUGUUAUUUAUUGGCAAUCAACAAAAAAAGUCUGAGAAGAUCUCACCUGUGUCACGAAUAUGUUCAGUAAAUUCAUGAAAUGAAAUUGAUAGCAUCUGAUGACCGUUUUAUGCAAGCUAAUCUUCAUUAUGAGACUCUGGACCUGCAUAUGUUAAAAUUCUAUUUUGAGUUUUCUGGAGUUAGCCGUUUUAGUUGUUUUAGUGCACCUAAAAAAGAAGAAAAAAAGAAAAAGAAAAAAAUGAAGAAAAAAUGAGAAACUUAAUACAGUCAGUGUAAUCCACACUGUGCCUGUAACAAUAUUUCCUUUUUCAUUGUACGAGGUCAAAUGAAUUCAAAGUAUUUUAUUUUUUGUAUUUCAGAUGCAAUCAAGACAGCGUGAAAAUGUUGAGCAACGCACAGCGUACUGGAACAGUAAUCCAUCCUCAUUUUUGAGUCGCAUGCGAACUCCAUCAGGACGAAGGAACAUUCAACCCUUGAACUCCAACUGAAACUCAUCGAGCAAUAAUUACUAGAGCAUUGAAUCUCACCUUUCUCUUCUUGCCUGUGCCCUAACAUAGUUGGAAAUGUGUCAAUUAUAUUACAUGUCCAUUGCUGUGAACUAUUUGUCUCUUGUCAAGUGUUUCGUAGCUCAAUUCAGUUUUCAUUGAGCAUCUAUGGUGUAAAAAUGUGAGCAAAUUCUUGCUGUUGCAAGCCAAGGUUCACGAUUAUAAUUUAUUAAGCUUUUAAGUAGUUUGUUAAAUAAUCUCUAUUUGUUACAUUUACCCAUGUUAAAAUAAUGUCUUUCAUGUUUCAUGCCGUUAAAGAAGUUAUCUAGCGGCGGCUGGACUGGCGUGCUAAGCUAAUAUUGAUUUCAUUAUUGAAUGAUGUCUGAUAAUUGAUUCUCACGGUUUAACAUUUUAAAUCGCAUGGUGGGCUUUCUCCUCAUUUCUUCUAACUUUAGAGAGUGGAAGAAGUCGAUCGCGCAAUCAAGUAACUAACCAGAAAAUCAUGGAAAGAAGAUAAUUGUAGAAGAAACUUACCCUAGCAUUAGCAAUUUUCAAUCGUUCCUCGUUUUUAGGAAAAAAUCCACAUUGCAAUUUUAAAAUUCACAAUUGUUAUUUUUUUUUUUUCAAGACAGGAAUUGUUAUACUUGAUAUACAAUUGUCCUCAAAUCACAAUUUUAGUCACAACUGAUUGUGAGAGCCAUCAAUACUUAGUAAGUAAUGUAUUACAAACUGUUACUGUAAACCAAAUGUCUAGUUGAACUUUCUUUGUUUUCUGAGGUAUUUUCAUAAGUAAGAAAACAUAGAAAGUGACUAAUGAAUUAGCAUAUUAUAUUUAUAUUAUUUAAUUGUAUGUUUGUACAAAGUAUUUACCAAAACUAAGACGUUUCAUAAAAAGAACUUAAACCAAAGCAUUGUGGCCUUUUUUUUUUUUAAGUAAUCAAAAUUUCCAACCACUGAUUUCAACAUUGGUCUGAAAAGUUUACUGAACGUCAAUAUGAAAAUUGUAUAAUAAAUAUUUCAAGAUGAGUCAUGAGUCUGGUUCUUUGUGAUAAUGAAGUGCUCUGUGGUUCAGUCAAAAACUUCGUUUGUAAGUUUAUAUAGCAGUUUUGAAUAUUUAAGUUCUCUUCUUACAACUGUGCUAAGUUUUCCACCCUCGGUAAACCUUAAUGUGCAACUGCAUUUACAUGCAGUUAUGAAGUGCCCCGGCAAAUUACAGAAUAUUAUAGAAACUGCAGAUGUCAGAACCAAUGACAUAUUUCUUAACUUGGUUUUUUUUUUGCUAUUCAAGCUUUCAAAGUGUCAUUGAUUCCAGGUGCAAGGGGGCAAAUGGUUGUCAGCCAAAAUGGUAAAUCUGACCCUUUUUCACAGUAAAAAAAGACCCUCCGCAGGAGAGCUUUUUUACCAUCAAGUUUUCUCUCUUCUAUCUGUUGUUAGCACAUAGUGGAAGCAUUUCGUAGGUUCAUUGUCUCAAUGUAUUUGUUUACUAUGUGCUGCUAUUUAUGCAUAUUGUAAAAUAUUAUUUGUGCUCAAAGAGACUGAUUAAAAAUUUCUCUGAAAGUGUUACAUCAAGAAAGCAAGAUUAUACUAACUUUUUGGCUUCGCUUGAUAGUUUAAAUUUUAUAACGAGGGAGUAGGAAUGCCGCUGUCACUUUCUUACAACAUUUUAACUCUUAAACGUUUAAGAGGAUUUUUUACAACUAGAAUAUUUGCAUUACUAUUAUAAUGAGAAGCAGAUGUAUUGUCUCCAUACACUUGACCAAAAAAAAUCAUAUCAGAUCUUUUUAAUUAGUUUACUUACGCAAUCAGCAAAUGCCCCUGUAUACUAAUCAUCUACCGUUCUUACCCUUUUGUAUUAACUUCUUUGAUCUGAUUUAAUUAUAUCGUUUUAAUUUAAUGUUUAUAGCGGUAGAAACAUUUUCCUCUGGUACCAUUAGUCUCUUGUUCCGUCGAUCUUUAUUUAUUUGUAAAUCACAAGGUCUCUAAUGAUGUAAUUGUUCUCUAACACUUUUCUGGAAAAUUUAGUUUACUUUCAAUGUGCCUUAGACUGUUGAUAAUUGCCGUCUCUUAGCCACAUGUUCGCUCAUGAUACCUGC
rnacentral:lncRNA from 1 species